rnacentral:lncRNA from 1 species
AUGGAGCGGAGAGCCAUCUGUCUUUCUGGCCAGCCAUCCGUCCGCUUCCCCAGAUCCUAUCGGUGUGUCUCACCUGCUAAUGAGAAGCUAGCAGGGCACACCGGUCUCUACCUCCCUCCUCUCGCUGGCGUUUCUCCCCCUGAAAGAUUAACCAUCCCCUCUGCAUCUCUUCUCAUCUGUCAUCCUAAUGGGGGCUACAAGAGGGAAAAAACAACAAUUUGCAGAGGGAGAAGCAGCCGCAGAAGGGCAAGGGAAAGUGUCUGGAUUGCCACCGUCGAUAAAGUUCCAGGCUGUCACCGGUUUAAUUUAUGCGGUGCUGUUGGCGCAGGACCAGAACUCAUUCUAACCGUCAUCUGCGACGGGUCCAUUUCGCACUGUCUGUGCGCGUGCAGAUACCUCACUGACAUUUCUUUAAUUAUUGUACGGUCCAAUAAAGAACGGUUGCACUGCAAACAGCACUGAUAUCACACUGCUGUAUAUCGGCGUAGUAGCUGAAGUGGACGGGCGAGGAGAGAAAUGAUGGCCGUGUGCUGAGAAGUUGAUGUCUGGAGUAUUCACUGGAACGCUAGAGACAAAAUCAACAAAACCGGACAUGUGUUCAUUUCCGGAAAAGCAACAAUCAAAUUCCAGGGGAAAAAAAACAAACCCUGCUGCUUUUUCAACAUAGUUAAAAAGCACAUGAUCUGUGGUCUACGUUGUGCCAGACUGGGUAUAAAUAAGUAAAAAGGAACUUCGUAAUGUAUGGAGUACCUGUGCUUUAAAUUGCAUGCAUUAGCAAACCUAAAUCAUAGAGUGCAGCGGUGAGAGUGGCAACCAGAGAGCGAUGAGCGGCUGUGUUAUCUGACAAAGUGGAGCGAUGACGGGCGAAAUAAGUAUUAAAUAAUUCAAAGUGGGCAGGUGCUGCGUGAGACUCGUCUUAAGUUUGAGACAAACGAUUGAUGCGACCGAACAUGUGGCGUCGUGAGAAAUAAAUAUGAGAGUGUGACUGUCCUCACACAACCCACAAUCUCAACCUGCAACCAGCUACAACAUGAAAGAAGCAGCCACACACCCCUGGCUUCAGUUUCUUCCUGUGAAAAGGGAGUUUUUCCUUCCCACUGUCACCAAGUGCUUGCUCAUAGUGCUCCAUCUGAUUAGCUGAUUUCCUGCGGUGCACACUCUAUAAAGUGAUUGCCUCAAACUUAAGAUUAGUCAGCACCUGUCCACUUUGAAUCAUUUAAUGCUUAUUUCGCCUAUAUUCGCUCCAGUUUGUCAGAUUUCACGGCCAUUUGUCGCUCUGUGGUUGACACUCUGUCAUUUAGGUUCGCUAAUGUAGGCAAUUUAAAACACAGGUACUCCACAGAUUACAAGGUUCCUUUUUUACUUAUUUAUACCCAGUCUCGCACAAUGUAAACCACCGAUCAUGUGCUUUUUUGUUCUGUUACCUCCUGUGAUCUCUCCCCACUGCUCGAAUAAACCGGAAAGAAAAGCAACAACCUGAGAGCGGAGAUAAAAUGGGUCUGUGAUAACAAAACAACAAAAAAAAGAUUAAAAUUCACUCAUUCAAAAAAGCCAUGUUUAGUUUCUGCUCCCUGAUUACUCUUUGAAUAAACUAAAUCCCUGUUGCAAACACUGCAACAAAGGUGCGACAUUAUUAAGUUUUAUGUAAAUUAGGAGCUGCUCCAAACACCGCUAACUCUGCGAUAUCCCUGUCGGUUAAUUUCAAUUUGUAAUGUGCCUUCAUUCCUUUCUGCCUGUCUUUGUUUGAUAUAUGCUGUCACAGCGCUGACGUGUUCCUCUUUGCCAGUUUAGGUUCCUUUAAGUAAUGAAGCUGCACUUUGGGAGGACAGGCUCUGUUGAGCUCUGCUGCGUUGUUCAUUGGGUGAAAACACUCACAUUGUGUGGCAGCUUUCGCUAAUGCACUUUUAUUGAAAAUGAAUAUGCUUCUAUGUGAGGUAUAGAAAAAGGCAACCAUGCAUUUUUGGCUUCCCAGGCCCUGAACUUCCUCUCCACCAGCCUCCUCUCCUCUAAGUGGGAGCAGCCAACUGCGGGAAGCUCCUGGUAACCACAUGCUAUCACAGCUCGGCCUUCCAGCCUCCAACCGCGACACGCUUACACUCAUCCACUCCACAGGGGAAGUGUUGAGCCUCGCUCGCCGACGUGAGAGCACAAACACAGAAACAUUCACCCUCCACCAGAUAGACAGCGCUGCUUAUACCCCCUCCCUCCUCCACCGGCUUCACAUUUCUCUCUUCUCUCUGCUCCUCCCACUACUAUUUGGUACUCGGGUAGUUUGUCUGUCUCCUCCUCUGAAAGAGCAGUUUUCCCUGAAGCAUCGUCCGGGUCUCUGUCAUUUUUUUUUUUAUACUGCUGUUUAUUUGACUGCGUAUCUUCCUCCUCCCCCCUUCUCUCUCCCAUCCUCCCGUCAAUAUUAGUCUUUGUUCAUCUGCAUCUCUAAUUCUCUCACUGCUCUUCAUUUCUUACAGUGUCAGUGCACUCUGACUGAAGCACAGGAGCAACGAUGCUCAUCCUACAGUGUACCCACUAGUGUUUUGACACAUUACAGAGUAUGAACUAAUUCCUCAGACUGUUAUUAGACUUUGUUUGCCAUUAUUUUAUUGUUUUUCUCAAACACUGUGCAGUAAAAAUAAAAAAAAGUCUGACUAGAAGUCACCCUUAGCUUCUCCCAAUUGCUAAUUAAGGCACAGAGGAGCAACCGUAACGUUAGACUGUAACGUUCUGAAAGGGGAAGACAUUCUGCGUCUUACAAAUGAAAGGUAGAUUUCAUAAGUAAUAAACCCACUGAACCCAUUGAGUUCUGCUGUUCCAGUCUUAUUUGAUCUGCUAUGACCAGAAGCUUAUUUAGAACAUUUUAAUGAGUCGGCUCAUUACCAAAAGGAAAGACUUUUCAAUACUUGUGCUCGUGCUAGCAUUAUCAUUACAGGGUCAGGCUGAAGCUGGUAGUCAGGAGUUUAACGUUAGCGAUGGAAUGAGUGAUGUGAAAGCAGCUAAGACAAACGCAGACAACUUUGCUGAGCUCAGUAUCCGUUUUUCAACCUUUUUAAUGACCUGCAUCUUUAUUGUACCCUCAGCAGAGCACUCUACACAACUGUAUUUAUUUUAUCUGCCUACCACCCAACAGCAGGGGAUAUAAACUAGUUACUAGCUUAUUAACAUAUAGUCUGCAACUGCCUGCUGACCAACCGCUGGGGACCAAUAUGCAUUGCAAGAAUGAGUGCU